GAUCCUGGCUCAGGAUGAACACUAGCGACAGGCUAACACAUGCAAGUCGAGGGGCAGCAUAGAAGUAGCAAUACGUUGGUGGCGACCGGCGCACGGGUGAGUAACGCGUAUGCAACCUACCUAUCAGAGGGGAAUAACCCGGCGAAAGUCGGACUAAUACCGCAUAAAACAGGGGCACCGCAUGGUGAUAUUUGUUAAAGAAAUUCGCUGAUAGAUGGGCAUGCGUUCCAUUAGGUAGUUGGUGAGGUAACGGCUCACCAAGCCGACGAUGGAUAGGGGAACUGAGAGGUUGGUCCCCCACACUGGUACUGAGACACGGACCAGACUCCUACGGGAGGCAGCAGUGAGGAAUAUUGGUCAAUGGGCGGGAGCCUGAACCAGCCAAGUCGCGUGAAGGAAGAAGGAUCUAUGGUUCGUAAACUUCUUUUGCAGGGGAAUAAAGUGCAGGACGUGUCCUGUUUUGUAUGUACCCUGAGAAUAAGGAUCGGCUAACUCCGUGCCAGCCGCCGC
rnacentral:rRNA from 1 species